UCUUCAGGAACCUUUAUAGAUUAGGUCUUUUAAACCUAAAUGAGUAGAAUUUUCUACUACUGAAG
rnacentral:tRNA from 1 species